rnacentral:rRNA from 1 species
UACCGGCGGCUCGAGUGGUGGCCGAUAUUAUUGAGUCUAAAGGGUCCGUAGCCGGCUUUGCAAGUCUUGUGGGAAAUCCAGCGGCUUAACCGUUGGGCGUCCGCGAGAUACUACAUUGCUUGGGACUGGGAGAGGUAAGAGGUACUCAAGGGGUAGGAGUGAAAUCCUGUAAUCCUUUGGGGACCACCGGUGGCGAAGGCGUCUUACCAGAACAGGUCCGACGGUGAGGGACGAAAGCUAGGGGCACGAACCGG